rnacentral:rRNA from 1 species
GACGAACGCUGGCGGCGUGCUUAACACAUGCAAGUCGAACGGAAAGGCCCUGCUUUUGUGGGGUGCUCGAGUGGCGAACGGGUGAGUAACACGAGAGUAACCUGCCCUUGACUUUGGGAUAACUUCAGGAAACUGGGGCUAAUACCGGAUAGGAGCUCCUGUUGCAUGGUGGGGGUUGGAAAGUCUCGGCGGUUGGGGAUGGACUCGCGGCUGAUCAGCUUGUUGGUGGGGUAGUGGCUUACCAAGGCUGUGACGGGUAGCCGGCCUGAGAGGGUGACCGGCCGCAUUGGGACUGAGAUACGGCCCAGACUCCUACGGGAGGCAGCAGUGGGGAAUAUUGCACAAUGGGCGGAAGCCUGAUGCAGCAACGCCGCGUGCGGGAUGACGGCCUUCGGGUUGUAAACCGCUUUCGCCUGUGACGAAGCGUGAGUGACGGUAAUGGGUAAAGAAGCACCGGCUAACUACGUG